AUGUGCUCAGGGCCCUCCCCUGGGCCGCUGCUCUGGGUCUGCGCGGACUUGCUGUGUGACCUUGGACAAAUUGCUGAAGCUCUCUGGAUUUCUGAUCCCUGCCACUGUCACCUGACUCCCAUCCGGAAUCUCAGGGAGGACCCAAAUGGACUAAGGAUUCAGGGCAGGCUUUUGAAGCCCGUGACAUCCAAGCCGAGCCCGAAGGGCACACGUGGAAGAGCCAAAGAGGAGGGGGUGGGCGAGGGGGACGCACUUCCGGCGCGGCGGCACCCGGUGCCAGGCCCAGGGAUGAGGAGAGCAUCUCGCUGGAGAGGCGAGAGUGGUUCGGGCUGGCCACAUAGCCAGGGCCCAGGAAGCUUCAUUCUGAGAGCGGCAGGGACAAUGGUUCCUGAUGCCCCCAGGCCUCCGCAGUGCAGCCUGGAUGCUGUGCUGGUGACAUUGAGCACACUUGGGAAAGGACAUGGGAGAGGAUGCCGAGCAGUCAGCAGCCCACAGAGGCCCUUGAGGAGUUGUUAUCCAGGAAAGAGGCCCAGGGAAGGGGACACAGGAAGUGGCCUCACCUCCUUGAAGCUGGAGCCCAGCAGAACUUGGAACCUGGUAACCAGGGACCCACAUUCUAGAGACAGCCGCUAGCUGCUCACUCGGGCAGAGAAACACGAGGGAGCAACAUGUUCUCCUGCUGCCUCCGAGCUUCCCGAGACUCCCGCACCAGGAGUCCCUGUCGUGAGAGGCUUCUCAGAUGCUGUCGGCGUUGGCUCACCCCACAGUAUCGACGGCUCACCCCGCAGCCUCGCCGGCUGUGGCCGUUUCCUAGGAGGAGCCAUGAGGUAAGCCAUGGGGCUGGGCAGGGGAUGAGGCCAGGCCUAGCCUGUGGCCUGCCUGGGCAGCCUCAGAUCGUCCACUCUGGCCUGGUGUGUGCAGGGGAGGAUCAUGAGUGAGGACGUCCCUGGGCAGGAGCAGGGGGUUGGGGGAGGAGGCCAGGUGGCUUGUCAUGUUCACUUCCAGGCCACGGCAACCAGGGCAUGAUGGGGGACGUAGGUUGGCAUCCCUCUGCCCAAAUGUUGAUCCUGACCCAUGGAGCUGUCCCUUGCCAUUGACUGUAAGGCUGGGCCCUGCUGCCGCCAGGCCUGGUUGACAAACCUGUCUUUGCAGGUUUCUACCCACGAGACCAGAACAGAAAAGGACAUGGAGGUCAUCGACCUCUCGCCCCAGACCUGGGAGUCUGGGCAUCAUGCCACCGACAUCGACCAGAGCAGG
rnacentral:lncRNA from 1 species